rnacentral:rRNA from 1 species
AUACGUCUUGCAAUUGGAUUGAGAACAAUGUACAACUCUUAUCGAUAAGCCAUUGGAGGGCAAGUCUGGUGCCAGCAGCCGCGGUAAUUCCAGCUCCAAUAGCGUAUAUUAACGUUGUUGCAGUUAAAAAGCUCGUAGUUGAAGUGUGGGUGAUCGCUGUUGUGAGACUUCGGUCUCUCGACAGUAAGUCACCCCCUUCCAGUAUCCAGUAGUGGGUAUUCAGUUACUUACUAUUGUGUGUUGGUCGUUUACUGUGAGAAAAUUAGAGUGUUCAAAGCAGGCGUUUGCUUGAAUAGAUUAGCAUGGAAUAAUAAUUGAAGGCUUUCGUGUUCGAUUUGAUUGGUUUGUUCAUGGAAGCAAGGUUAAAAGGAACAGUUGGGGGUAUUCAUAUUCACUAGUUAGAGGUGAAAUUCUCGGAUUUAUGGAAGAUGAAC